AUUGAACGCUGGCGGCAGGCUUAACACAUGCAAGUCGAGCGGAGUGAUGGUGCUUGCACUAUCACUUAGCGGCGGACGGGUGAGUAAUGCUUAGGAAUCUGCCUAUUAGUGGGGGACAACAUCUCGAAAGGGAUGCUAAUACCGCAUACGUCCUACGGGAGAAAGCAGGGGAUCACUUGUGACCUUGCGCUAAUAGAUGAGCCUAAGUCGGAUUAGCUAGUUGGUGGGGUAAAGGCCUACCAAGGCGACGAUCUGUAGCGGGUCUGAGAGGAUGAUCCGCCACACUGGGACUGAGACACGGCCCAGACUCCUACGGGAGGCAGGAGUGGGGAAUAUUGGACAAUGGGGGGAACCCUGAUCCAGCCAUGCCGCGUGUGUGAAGAAGGCCUUAUGGUUGUAAAGCACUUUAAGCAAGGAGGAGGCUCUUUUGGUUAAUACCCAAGAUGAGUGGACGUUACUCGCAGAAUAAGCACCGGCUAACUCUGUGCCAGCCGCCGCCGCGG
rnacentral:rRNA from 1 species